UACGUAGGGACCGAGCGUUGUCCGGAUUCAUUGGGCGUAAAGAGCUCGUAGGCGGCCACUCAAGUCGAAUGUGAAACCUCGAGGCUUAACCUCGAGCCUGCAUUUGAUACUGGGCGGCUAGAGUCUGGUAGGGGGAUCUGGAAUUCCUGGUGUAGCGGUGGAAUGCGCAGAUAUCAGGAGGAACACCGGUGGCGAAGGCGGGAUCCUGGGCCAGUACUGACGCUGAGGAGCGAAAGCGUGGGGAGCAAACAGG
rnacentral:rRNA from 1 species